rnacentral:rRNA from 1 species
GGUGAACGCUGUCGGCGUGCCUAAUACAUGCAAGUCGAGCGAACGGACGAGAAGCUUGCUUCUCUGAUGUUAGCGGCGGACGGGUGAGUAACACGUGGAUAACCUACCUAUAAGACUGGGAUAACUUCGGGAAACCGGAGCUAAUACCGGAUAAUAUUUUGAACCGCAUGGUUCAAAAGUGAAAGACGGUCUUGCUGUCACUUAUAGAUGGAUCCGCGCUGCAUUAGCUAGUUGGUAAGGUAACGGCUUACCAAGGCAACGAUGCAUAGCCGACCUGAGAGGGUGAUCGGCCACACUGGAACUGAGACACGGUCCAGACUCCUACGGGAGGCAGCAGUAGGGAAUCUUCCGCAAUGGGCGAAAGCCUGACGGAGCAACGCCGCGUGAGUGAUGAAGGUCUUCGGAUCGUAAAACUCUGUUAUUAGGGAAGAACAUAUGUGUAAGUAACUGUGCACAUCUUGACGGUACCUAAUCAGAAAGCCACGGCUAACUACGUG